AGUGAACGCUGGCGGUAGGCCUAACACAUGCAAGUCGAACGGCAGCACAGUAAGAGCUUGCUCUUACGGGUGGCGAGUGGCGGACGGGUGAGGAAUACAUCGGAAUCUACUUUUUCGUGGGGGAUAACGUAGGGAAACUUACGCUAAUACCGCAUACGACCUACGGGUGAAAGCAGGGGAUCUUCGGACCUUGCGCGAUUGAAAGAGCCGAUGUCGGAUUAGCUAGUUGGCGGGGUAAAGGCCCACCAAGGCGACGAUCCGUAGCUGGUCUGAGAGGAUGAUCAGCCACACUGGAACUGAGACACGGUCCAGACUCCUACGGGAGGCAGCAGUGGGGAAUAUUGGACAAUGGGCGCAAGCCUGAUCCAGCCAUACCGCGUGGGUGAAGAAGGCCUUCGGGUUGUAAAGCCCUUUUGUUGGGAAAGAAAAGCAGCAGGUUAAUACCCCGCUGUUCUGACGGUACCCAAAGAAUAAGCACCGGCUAACUGCGU
rnacentral:rRNA from 1 species